rnacentral:rRNA from 1 species
AUUGAACGCUGGCGGCAGGCCUAACACAUGCAAGUCGAACGAGUGGCGGACGGGUGAGUAAUGUCUGGGAAACUGCCCGAGGGAGGGGGAUAACUACUGGAAACGGUAGCGAAUACCGCAUACCAUCGGAUGUGCCCAGAUGGGAUUAGCUAGUAGGUGGGGUAACGGCUCACCAAGGCGACGCCCCCUAGCUGGUCUGAGAGGAUGACCAGCAACACUGGAACUGAGACACGGUCCAGACUCCUACGGGAGGCAGCAGUGGGGAAUAUUGCACAAGGGGCGAAAGCCUGAUGCAGCCAUGCCGCGUGUAUGAAGAAGGUCUUCGGGUUGUAAAGUACUUUCAGCGGGGAGGCGUUACUCGCAGAAGAAGCACCGGCUAACUCCGUGCCAGCAGCCGCGGUAAUUC